UGUGACAGAGGUUGAACAGCUAAGCAAUCUCAAUGAAAGAUGAUGUUAUAUAAACAGGGAAAACAAGUGGUCUGGAGACAUGCACACACUUCCCGUCCUUCUCUCUCCCUUCCUCUGUUGCUCUUGUGGGAUGUCACAAAAGGUCUCCAAUGGAAACGGUUGCAGUUUCAGUUCAAAGAGAAAAGGAAGGGAAAAGUUCUCUGGCUGUUAUGAGGGUUCUGCAAGGGGCUUGCAGGCCCUGCCUGGCGGUGUCUGGAGGCUCAGGAUCGGGGAAAGAUGCCCCAGAGAUCCAUGGAGCAGCACCCCGGUUUCAUCUGGAUGGAGACAUCUCACUACACUGAAGAGGACUGAGAAGAAGGUGCUGUUAAGGCCCAGGCAAAAACUGGCAAAUUUCUACGGCAUCCCAAGCUGACCAAUAAGGAAGGCUCUUUCCAACCGAAGGGGCUGUCACUUGGCAAACAUUACUACAUGGUGCUGGAAACAAGGCAUUUUGCUAGACUCACUUUCAAUCCGUAUACCAGAGCGUGCACAUACACACACACACACACACACUCCUUCAGACAGCAGUGACGUGAAGAGGCCGAGCAGGCCCGACCAAUGCUCUCCACUCUUCAAACAACACUUGGGGGUUUCUGCUGAGGCCCUGCCUUUUUAAGCCUGUGCUUUCAAAACGUGGGCUGGACUGAUCCCAAAUACUGAAGUAACAAAUAUUACUAAAUUCUGUCAUUUCCUCAACCAAAAAGUGAUUUUACUACUACUUCUGGUUGUGAUGAAAGGUUCUAUUGACUAUUCAAAUCCUCAACCAAGUUAUGGAUGCAGUAUUGAAUGACUUCACUCCCUCUCCUCUGGCACUUUAACACAUGUCAGUGCUUUCAUCCACCUCCACUAAUGUGGCUUGUAAAUCACUGAGGUGGGGCCAUUUUAAUAGUUCGGUUUGUUCACAUCUCUAGAGAUGAGGCACAAAUAUGGCUGGCCGAGAAGACAAACUCCCCUUUGACAACAUGUAGUAGUGCAUAUAAAUAAGCCUUCGAAAGCUGGAAGUAUCUUAUUGCUAUACUGUUUGGUUAGGAGCCUUAAUAAGUAAUGUUUAUUUGAUUUGUUACAAAAAAUGUGAUAAAGUGAUGGUAGUAAGGCCAAAAGACAAAACGAAACCUUCCCCAAGAAAGGUCACAUACUUGCUAAAAGUUUCUAUCUGAAUGUUUAAAAUGCGUUUCCUCAAUAAAGUUUUAAAAUCUAA